rnacentral:rRNA from 1 species
AGUGGCGGACGGGUGAGUAACGCGUGGGUAACCUGCCUCAUACAGGGGGAUAACAGUUAGAAAUGACUGCUAAUACCGCAUAAGCGCACAGUACCGCAUGGUACGGUGUGAAAAACUCCGGUGGUAUGAGAUGGACCCGCGUCUGACUAGGUAGUUGGUGGGGUAACGGCCUACCAAGCCGACGAUCAGUAGCCGACCUGAGAGGGUGACCGGCCACAUUGGGACUGAGACACGGCCCAA